GAUCAACGCUGGCGGCGUGCCUAACACAUGCAAGUCGAACGAUGAAGCUUAAAAGAUUUCUUCGGAAUGAACUUAAUUGGCUUAGUGGCGGACGGGUGAGUAACGCGUGAGUAACCUGCCUUGUACAAGGGGAUAGCCGUUGGAAACGACGAAUAAUACCCUAUGACAUCAAAUAAUCGCAUGAUAAUUUGAUCAAAGAUUUAUCGGUUUAAGAUGGACUCGCGUCUGAUUAGCUAGUUGGUAGAGUAAAAGCCUACCAAGGCAACGAUCAGUAGCCGGCUUGAGAGAGUGUACGGCCACAUUGGGACUGAGACACGGCCCAGACUCCGACGGAAGGCAGCAGGGGGGAAUUUGGCACAAUGGGGGAAACCCUGAUGCAGCGACGCCGCGUGAUUUAGAAGGCCUUCGGGUUGUAAAAAUCUUUUGUAUGGGAAGAAAAUGACAGUACCAUACGAAUAAGAACCGGCUAAUUACGUG
rnacentral:rRNA from 1 species